rnacentral:rRNA from 1 species
AACGUAGGACACAAGCGUUAUCCGGAGUUACUGGGCGUAAAGGGCGUGUAGGCGGAGAUGUAAGUCUAUUCUGAAAGCUCCUGGCUAAACUGGGAGAGGCGAAUGGAGACUGCAUAUCUAGAGUGAGGAAGAGGAAAGUGGAAUUCCGGGUGUAGCGGUGGAAUGCGUAGAGAUCCGGAAGAGCACCGGUGGCGAAGGCGGGCUGCUGGGCAGUUUGGCUGACACUGAGGCGCGACAGCGUGGGGAGCAAACAGG